rnacentral:SRP_RNA from 1 species
GCCGGGCGUGGUGGUGCGUGCCUGUAGUCCCAGCUACUCAGGAGGCUGAGGCAGAAGAAUCACUUGAACCCAGGAGGCAGAGGUUGCAGUGAGCCGAGAUUGCGCCACUGCACUCCAGCCUGGGUAACAGAGCGAGACUCUGUCUCAA